UACGGCUUCGGUCAAAAUAAAACAGAACAUCCUGAGGAUAUAACGAGCAAUUUGGAAAAAUAAAUUUGUCGGUUUCUUAUACGGUUGCGAAGCCUUAGAGAUAACAAGAAAAACAGUGUUCGGGGAGAUAACUCUUAUUUGGGAAAGUAUUCGGUUAAGCAGAGUUGGUUUCAAAAGCGUAUAAACUGUUCGAUAUCAUAUUCCAAAAAUCUAAGCGACAUCUUGCGAAACAAAAAAACAGCGAAGGAAAAAAAUUAGGCGGAAAAAAAAAAAAAAAAAAAUAAUAAUAAUUAAAAACCAAUUGUUCAGAGAACCAUUGAUGGUCUUUCCACCAGUUAAGACCUUUUUUUAUAUGAAAAUAUUAAAAUUUGGUUUUAAAUGUCAAUUUUAGCGUCAAAUGACAGCUUAUUGAACGCUUAUUCCAAAAAUAUAUGGUUUCUAUACAAAAAGAUAUAAAUAAGGG
rnacentral:lncRNA from 1 species